AGUGGCGGACGGGUGAGUAACGCGUGGGUAACCUGCCGUAUGCAGGGGGACAACAGGUUGGAAACGACUGCUAAUACCGCAUAUGCGCACAGGUACCGCAUGGUACAGUGUGGAAAGAUUUAUCGGCAUACGAUGGACCCGCGUUUGAUUAGAUAGUUGGUGAGGUAACGGCUCACCAAGUCGACGAUCAAUAGCCGGCCUGAGAGGGCAAUCGGCCACAUUGGGACUGAGACACGGCCCAAACUCCUACGGGAGGCAGCAGUGGGGAAUAUUGCACAAUGGGGGAAACCCUGAUGCAGCGAACCGCCGCGUGAGUGAAGAAGUAUUUCGGUAUGUAAAGCUCUAUCAGCAGGGAAGAUGAUGACGGUACCUGACUAAGAAGCCCCGGCUAACUACGUGCCAGCCGCAGC
rnacentral:rRNA from 1 species